rnacentral:misc_RNA from 1 species
GAAAUGCGAUAAGUAGUGUGAAUUGCAGAAUUCCGUGAAUCAUCGAAUCUUUGAACGCACAUUGCGCCUCCUGGUAAUCGGGGAGGCAUGCCUGUCCGAGCGUCACUAAAAUCAACUCAAGCACUUCUGUGCGUGGUCAUGGAGGAAGAGUCGGUCUCGUUGCAGCCCGUCUCCCCUCCCAAAAUCAAAGGCGGAAGGUCACUGGUGCUCUGCGUAGUAGUAUUGUUUCGCUGACAUUCCAGUGUCUCUUCCCGCCUCCAAACCCCCACAAUUCUCUUGAUUGACCUCGGAUCAGGUAGGGAUACCCGCUGAACUUAA